AUGAACUCUGAAGGUGUUCACACAUUAACCCUGAACUUUUCCAUUUCCUGCUGCAAGCAGAAGGCUGCUGAAGGAGCUGGGAAUGCUCAGCCUGGAGAGAAGGAGGCUCAAGGGAGACCUCAGCACUCUACAGCUCCUUGACUGGAGGUAGGUGGGGUCAGGUUCUGCUCCCAAGGGACAGGAUGAGAGGAACUGGCCUCCAGUUGUGCCAGGGGAGGUUUGGAUUGCAUAUUGGGGCAAAAAAGGGGUUAUUAAGCAUUGGCAGAGGCUGCCCAGGGCAGUGGAGAAAUAAUAAUUCCUGGAGAUGUUUAAAAGGUGUGCAGGUGUGGCACUGAUGGACAAGGGGUAGUGGUGGAUUUGGUGCUCCUGGGUUAUAGCUGGACUUGACUUCCGAGGUCUUUUUUCACCUAAAUGGUUGAGUACCUAUAAACACUUGUCACUUGGUGUCCUGGGGGCAGGGAGGAUCCUUUUGGGAUUCCCUUGUAGGGGACGGUGAGGGACAGUGCUGUUGCAUACUACAGCAGAGAUUGAUUCCGGGUUUCUUUCCUGUAGUGCUUUGUAGUCCUGGAAUUUGCUGUGGAUCUUACACUUGUUAGAACACUGGAAAAUUUGGUUUAGUCACGAGCAUAAAAGGCUAAAGUCAUUUUAGUGACUGCUCACAGGAGGGUUUCUGUUCGUGAUCCAAAGUGGGACAGAAAAGAGAAUACAGACCUCAGCCUGCCUGAUCUGUUAAAGGUAAGUUCAGGUACGUGGGCACUGCACACAACUUUUUAUUAUCCAUUUGUUUUCACAAUAAAACCACCAGAAAUAGUCACACAAUCUUUGGAAAUGCUAAAAAGGUUUGUGGGAAAGGUCUGCCUUGGCUGUUGCUGCCACAGUGCUGACCCUGUCUGGGUGGCAACUUUUCUUUCCUGGCACUCGCAGAUUCCAAGUGCACAUGACCCAACAUUUUUAAGGUGUCCUACACCACUGAGGGAACAUUGGCACAACGGAGAGAGAGUCCCAUCAUUGAUGGGCUCUUGGGUAACACUGUUAAUGGGUUACAGUGAGGUUUGGCAGGGUGUUCCUGGAAGGUGCUGCAAGGUGAGCAGCAGGACUCUGAACUCUACAACAGCUCAGGUAGCGUGUAAUUUUUAAACAAAAACUGAUUUCAAACAUUGCUGCUUUCAUAAACCUUACACAUAGACACUACUACUGGGCCUUUAAUAUUUAGCAAAAUACUUUCAGAUGAGUGGACAGAAAUUGUCUGAGAGGAAUUGUUCCAUCCUUAGACUUCAUCUUGUCACAAUUGAAUAAGCAAAUUGAUUCCUUAAUUAUAAAAUCAUAGAAUCUCCUGAGCUGGAAGAGACACAUCAGUAUCAUAGAGCCCAACUCAUGGCCCUGCACAGACACCCAAAAUCCCACCCUCUGCCUGAGAGUGUCCCCCAAAUAGUCUUGGAGCUCUGGCAGCCUUGAGGCUGUGACCAUUCCCUGGGGAGCCUGUUCAGUGCCCAGCACCCUCUGAGGGAAGAACCUUUUCUAGAUCUUCAGCCUGACCCUGCCCUGGCCCAGAUCCAUUCUCCUGGGUCUUGUCUCUGGUCACCAGAGAGGAAAGAUCAGCGUCUGCCCCCCUCUUCCCUUGUGCUUUAUAUACAUUUGAUUUGCCAGGUCUUCAAGAAUUUCAAGAAUACUUUUUUUUUAAAUCUGCAAAUGCAGUUCCAGUAUCAGAUGCUGUUUUCAGUAUCAUUGAAGAGAUGAUAAACCCCUCAUCAAACACAAAGCCAGGUGAGGUCAGUGUUGUUUCAGCAAGCUACAGUCAGCUUCUAAAGCUUUGCUCUGGACAGCUCUGGGCUGCCCACACUUCAUUCUCCAUGGAAUUUGUGUUCCAGCCCCUCUGGUGGUCAGGAUGCCCAUUCUGCUGGGGGCAGCAAUGCACACAGGCUGACUCCUAGGAAAAUUGUUGCAGGAAGAGCUGCUUCUCCUCUUUUGAGCUCCUGCUAGUUUCAUUUGCAGAUUUCUGUUGGAUUCGUGGAUUGCUGCUUGUGGAGCUGGAGGAGCCAGCAAAGAGUUGUUUCUUACCUUCUGUCUCUCUGUUACUCAUGACCACUUAGAUUUUUGUGACAGUGCUCCUUUAUGAACCCCCAGCUGUGGAACUUUUUAAAUCACAGCAGUUUUCAGGGCUGCCUUGCUUGUGGUUUAUUUCAGUAAUUUGCUGCCUACUCCUAGAUUGUCUUUAAAAAAAACCAAAACAGGUUUCUCGAAGUGUAACCUUUCCUGUCCUGCUUUUGAUGACAGCAAAGAUUCACAGUAAUGGGAAGACAAUGGUCUGGAACACCCAAUCUUUCCAAGCAGUUGUGCUAUUGCCAUGGUAUGCAUUCCUCCAGCUGAGCCUGAUGUGAUUCCUGCUCACAUCUGCACUGACACAUCUCUGAGGUUCAUGCUGGAAAGGUUUCUGCAGCUAAAUACAAUCCUCACAGGGGUUAAUUACACAACAUUCGAGAUCAAUACACAAGACUGA